AUAAAUAGAUUUAAACAGUGGAUUGGUGGUAUUUGUUUACUUAUUUUUUCUGGCAAAGUAUAAGGGAGUUGUACUCCAGUCUAGUAGGUGGCUGUAAUGCAACAUGUAUUAGAUGCCAACCGCUGUUACAGCUAAUCGAAGAAUAACUAUUUUCGUGCUUUUAGGACCCGUAAUGCCAUUCUUCAAUGAGAUGGGCGUGGCUUCACAACUUUUUUGAAGAAAAUAUGCAGCGGAAGUCUCACGAGGGCAGAUACGAAUGAAUUGAUUUAACUAAUUAUGACAAAUGUUAAGAAUUUAAUAAAAGGACCUGAGCCCUAGGACCAUGCCUCAGGACUACCUGGCCUGUUGACUCCUUUCUGUCCUCAGUCCACCUGGUCAUGCUGCUGCUACAGUUUCAACUGUUCUGCCUGCGGCUAUGGAACCCUGACCUGUUCACUGGACAUGCUACCUUGUCCCGGACCUGCUGUUUUGGACUCUCUCUCUACCGCACCUGCUGUCUCUAACUCUGAAUGAUCAGCUAUGAAAAGCCAACUGACAUUUAUUCCUGAGGUGCUGACCUGUUGCACCCUCUACAACCACGUUGAUUAUUAUUAUCUGACCCUGCUGGUCAUCUAUGACCGUUUGAACAUCUUGGCCAUGUUCUGUUAUCUCCACCCGGCACAGAGGACUGGCCACCCCUCAGAGCCUCGUUCCUCUCUAGGUUUCUUCCUAGGUUCCGGCCACCCUCAGGGCCUCGUUCCUCUCUAGGUUUCUUCCUAGGUUCCGGCCUUUCUAGGGAGUUUUUCCUAGCCACUGUGCUUCUACAUCUGCAUUGCUUGCUGUUUGGGGUUUUAGGCUGGGCUUCUGUUCAGCACUUUGUGACAUUGGCUGAUGUAAGAAGGGCUUUAUAAAUACUUUGAUUGAUUGAUGUUUCAAGUGUGUGCAGAUGGACAGAGUAUAUUGAAGAAGAGUGUGUAGAAGGACAACAGUGUUGCAAUUGUGGUGGGAUCAUGAUCCCGAGUUCCUGGAGUGCCUUGUAAGGGUGAAGGAGAUUGAGGUAGCAAAACUUAGAGCGGUCAAUCGAAUCUCCUAUGCGGAGGCGAUUAACCCUUGUGUGGUGUUCGGGUCUGUGAGACCCAUUUUCAAUGUUUACUAAAAGAAAAAUGAUACAAUUAAUUAUUUUUUCAACCUGCUACUCAUUGGCCUUGGCUCAUUUUCUGUGGAGAACAUGUAAAAUAAAUCAUUUUCAUUGAGUGCACACUGCA